rnacentral:piRNA from 1 species
UAACAGUUAAGGCCUCAUCCAUCUGAGC